rnacentral:rRNA from 1 species
GAUGAACGCUGGCGGCGUGCCUAAUACAUGCAAGUCGAGCGAACAGACGAGGAGCUUGCUCCUCUGACGUUAGCGGCGGACGGGUGAGUAACACGUGGAUCACCUACCUAUAAGACUGGGAUAACUUCGGGAAACCGGAUCUAAUACCGGAUAAUAUCUUCAACCGCAUGGUUCAAUAGUGAAAGACGGUUUUGCUGUCACUUAUAGAUGGUUCCGCGCCGCAUUAGCUAGUUGGUAAGGUAACGGCUUACCAAGGCAACGAUGCGUAGCCGACCUGAGAGGGUGAUCGGCCACACUGGAACUGAGACACGGUCCAGACUCCUACGGGAGGCAGCAGUAGGGAAUCUUCCGCAAUGGGCGAAAGCCUGAUGGAGCAACGCCGCGUGAGUGAUGAAGGUCUUCGGAUCGUAAAACUCUGUUAUUAGGGAAGAACAAAUGUGUAAGUAACUAUGCACGUCUUGACGGUACCUAAUCAGAAAGCCACGGCUAACUACGUG